rnacentral:rRNA from 1 species
UACAGAGGGUGCGAGCGUUGUCCGGAAUCACUGGGCGUAAAGGGCGCGUAGGCGGGUCUUUAAGUCAGGGGUGAAAUCCUGGAGCUCAACUCCAGAACUGCCUUUGAUACUGAAGAUCUUGAGUUCGGGAGAGGUGAGUGGAACUGCGAGUGUAGAGGUGAAAUUCGUAGAUAUUCGGAAGAACACCAGUGGCGAAGGCGGCUCACUGGCCCGGUACUGACGCUGAGGUGCGAAAGCGUGGGGAGCAAACAGG